GACGUAGGGGGCCAGCGUUGUUCGGAGUUACUGGGCGUAAAGGGCGUGUAGGUGGUUUCGUAAGUCUGGCGUGAAAUUUUUCGGCUUAACCGGGAAAGGUCGUCGGAUACUGCGGAGCUAAAGGACGGUAGAGGCGUGUGGAAUUCCGGGUGUAGUGGUGAAAUGCGUAGAGAUCCGGAGGAACACCAGUGGCGAAGGCGACACGCUGGGCCGUACCUGACACUGAUGCGCGACAGCAUGGGGAGCAAACAGG
rnacentral:rRNA from 1 species